UGGGCCCCUACCCUCAAGGCUGUGCGGUUUCCGCCUGCCGCGGGAGCGACGGGCUCGCGCGCGGGCGUGGGCGUGUCCGGAAAAGGUGGCCACUCGGACGCCAUGUGGCCCAAUGCCGAGGUCCCGAGGGCGGAGCCCCGGCCGGAGGCCGGCCCGCCUGGGGGUGGGUCUAGGCGCAGCUCCAACAUUUCCAAGUUGCCGGCGCCCCCCCCUGCAGUGACCAGGGAGCCACCGAGCUUCAGUAACUCUAGACGAAGCUCCGCGAUCCCAGUGCCUGGUUCACCGAACGAGGUGGGCAGACGGCUCGGGACCAUGACUAGAGCUGGCAUGGAGCGGUGGCGCGACCGGCUGGCACUGGUGACGGGAGCGUCGGGGGGCAUCGGUGCGGCCGUGGCCCGGGCAUUAGUUCAGCAGGGACUGAAGGUUGUGGGUUGUGCCCGCACCGUUGGCAACAUCGAGGAGCUGGCUGCUGAAUGUAAGAGUGCAGGCUACCCCGGGACUUUGAUCCCCUACAGAUGUGACCUGUCAAAUGAGGAGGACAUCCUCUCCAUGUUCUCAGCUGUCCGAUCCCAGCACAGUGGCGUGGAUAUCUGCAUCAACAAUGCCGGCAUGGCCCGGCCUGACACCCUGCUCUCAGGCAGCACCAGCGGAUGGAAGGACAUGUUCAAUGUUAAUGUGCUGGCCCUCAGCAUCUGCACUCGGGAAGCUUAUCAGUCCAUGAAGGAGAGGAAUGUAGACGACGGGCACAUCAUUAACAUCAACAGCAUGUGUGGCCACCGAGUCCCAUCCCAGUCUGUGAUCCAUUUCUAUAGUGCGACUAAGUAUGCCGUCACUGCAUUGACAGAGGGACUAAGGCAAGAGCUCCUGGAGGCCCAGACCCAUAUCCGGGCCACGGCCUAUAAAGCUCAGGCUGAGGAAGACCUCUCUGUUGGCCCAGUGUAUCUCUCCAGGCUUGGUGGAGACACAGUUCGCCUUCAAACUCUAUGACAAAGACCCUAGGGAAGCAGCUGCCGUCUAUGAACACAUAAAGUGUCUCCGACCAGAGGAUGUGGCUGAGGCUGUCAUCUAUGUCCUCAGCACGCCCCCACAUGUUCAGGUUGGAGACAUCCAGAUGAGGCCCACAGAGCAGGUGACCUAGCGUUCUGUGGGGAGCUCCUACCUUCCCCACCCUUCAUGGCUUGCCUUCUGCCUCUGGAUUUUAGGUGUUGAUUUCUGGACCCUGGAUCUUACUUUCUAUAGCCACCCCACUAAGCGAUAGUCAAUUCGUCAGAUUUAUUCCCAUUACACAUGUGAAAAAAUGGGCUGGGGAGAGAAGAUAUAAUGGCUACUGUUUUAUGUAACUUCUUCUGAGUCUCCCCCUCUCGGGGCUCCUUAACCUUUGCUUCCUUUUGACCUAGGAAAGGGGUAUGGUUAAAAGGGGCGUGGCUCUAUCCUCUUGCACCCUCCCCCUCCCGCUUAGGGUUGGAGCAGCAGAGAUCUCAUCUUCUACCUGUAUGGCUGCAGGCUCCCCUUCCCAGCCCUCCCACCCCCAGCUUCUCCAGCCAAGUUUUGGCCCUUCCCCUGGGGUCCUCACUGCACUCUGACCACGGCUACAGAGUAUCAGGGUCUGUCUCCUAUUACAUUUCACCGCAACAAUUAAAGAGAAAGAUUGCAACCUA